rnacentral:lncRNA from 1 species
AGUUAUAGACCUUUAAUUUUCGGAUUGCGGAUUGGUGGUCGUUUGGUGGUCGAGCAUGAGAUUGGGCCGAACCGGGCGGCGUGUGCCGCGGGAGGCCGAUUGCAAGUGACUACAAGCAAUCAGAAAGCGAUUUGAGGUGGGUUGUGCUCACCGAAAUGUUUAGCUCACUUCCAUGUCGAAGUGGAGUAUGGUUGUAUUGUU